rnacentral:rRNA from 1 species
UACGGAAGGCAGCAGUGGGGAAUAUUGCACAAUGGGCGCAAGCCUGAUGCAGCCAUGCCGCGUGUAUGAAAAGGCCUUCGGGUUGUAAAGUACUUUCAGUCGUGAGGAAGGUGUUAAGGUUAAUAACCUUAGCAAUUGACGUUAGCGACAGAAGAAGCACCGGCUAACUCCGUGCCAGCAGCCGCGGUAAUACGGAGGGUGCGAGCGUUAAUCGGAAUUACUGGGCGUAAAGGGCACGCAGGCGGUUAAUUAAGUUGGAUGUGAAAUCCCCGGGCUUAACCUGGGAAUGGCAUUCAAGACUGGUUAGCUAGAGUCUUGUAGAGGGGGUAGAAUUCCAUGUGUAGCGGUGAAAUGCGUAGAGAUGUGGAGGAAUACCGGUGGGCGAAGGCGGGCCCCCUGGGACAAAGGACUGACGCUCAUGUGCGAAAGCGUGGGGAGCAAACAGGGAUUAGAUACC